UACGGUCAAAUCACGCUGAAACCCCGGUUCUCGUUCGAUCACCGAAGUUAAGCAUCGUAGAGACAGGUCAGUACUUAGAUGGGGGACCGCUUGGGAACACCUGGUACU
rnacentral:rRNA from 1 species